rnacentral:rRNA from 1 species
GAUGAACGCUGGCGGCGUGCCUAAUACAUGCAAGUCGAGCGAACGGACGAGAAGCUUGCUUCUCUGAUGUUAGCGGCGGACGGGUGAGUAACACGUGGAUAACCUACCUAUAAGACUGGGAUAACUUCGGGAAACCGGAGCUAAUACCGGAUAAUAUUUUGAACCGCAUGGUUCAAAAGUGAAAGACGGUCUUGCUGUCACUUAUAGAUGGAUCCGCGCUGCAUUAGCUAGUUGGUAAGGUAACGGCUUACCAAGGCAACGAUGCAUAGCCGACCUGAGAGGGUGAUCGGCCACACUGGAGCUGAGACACGGUCCAGACUCCUACGGGAGGCAGCGGUAGGGAAUCUUCCGCAAUGGGCGAAAGCCUGACGGAGCAACGCCGCGUGAGUGAUGAAGGUCUUCGGAUCGUAAAACUCUGUUAUUAGGGAAGAACAUAUGUGUAAGUAACUGUGCACAUCUUGACGGUACCUAAUCAGAAAGCCACGGCUAACUACGUG